rnacentral:rRNA from 1 species
GUGCAAGUCGAACGCUCACCUUCGGGUGGGAGUGGUAGACGGGUGAGUAACACGUGGGAACGUACCCUUUGGUUCGGGACAACUCUGGGAAACUGGAGCUAAUACCGGAUACGCCCUUUUGGGGAAAGGUUUACUGCCGAAGGAUCGGCCCGCGUCUGAUUAGCUAGUUGGUGGGGUAACGGCCUACCAAGGCGACGAUCAGUAGCUGGUCUGAGAGGAUGAUCAGCCACACUGGGACUGAGACACGGCCCAGACUCCUACGGGAGGCAGCAGUGGGGAAUAUUGGACAAUGGGCGCAAGCCUGAUCCAGCCAUGCCGCGUGAGUGAUGAAGGCCUUAGGGUUGUAAAGCUCUUUUAUCCGGGACGAUAAUGACGGUACCGGAGGAAUAAGCCCCGGCCAACUUCGUGCCAGCAGCCGCGGUAAUACGAAGGGGGCUAGCGUUGCUCGGAAUCACUGGGCGUAAAGGGCGCGUAGGCGGCGUUUUAAGUCGGGGGUGAAAGCCUGUGGCUCAACCACAGAAUGGCCUUCGAUACUGGGACGCUUGAGUCUGGUAGAGGUUGGUGGAACUGCGAGUGUAGAGGUGAAAUUCGUAGAUAUUCGCAAGAACACCGGUGGCGAAGGCGGCCAACUGGACCGGCACUGACGCUGAAGCGCGAAAGCGUGGGGAGCAAGCAGGAUUAGAUACCCUGGUAGUCCACGCUGUAAACGAUGAAUGCUAGCUGUUGGGAUGCAUGCAUCUCAGUAGCGCAGCUAACGCAUUAAGCAUUCCGCCUGGGGAGUACCGUCGC